GACACGCAGGCCACGGAUGGGGACACAGAAAAAAGCGGCAGAAUGGGCAGCACGUGAUGCGAUCAGCCAUCAUCAAUCCGCCGCCGCGCCGCCUACAGCUCCUCCCGAGACGGGAGGCGAAGGAAGACGAGAACUAGACGCCACUCCUACAGUUUUACGUUUACCCAUCACCACCAGUCCAGCACCGAGCACCGACCAGAUCAACCAGGCCCGCCCCGACCCGAAGAUGCAGCGGUGGCUCCCGGCGCUCCUCCGCCGCGCCGCGCCCGGCGGCGGGGCGGCGCGGCUCUUCGCCUCGUCCUCCCUCCUCUUCGACGACACGCAGGAGCAGUUCAAGGAGAGCGUGCGCAAGUUCGCGCAGGAGAACAUCGCGCCGCGCGCCGCGGCCAUCGACGCCUCCAACCACUUCCCGCGGGACGUGGACCUGUGGAGGCUCAUGGGGGACUUCAACCUCCACGGCCUCACCGCGCCGGAGGAGUACGGCGGCAUGGGCCUCGGCUACAUGUACCACUGCAUCUCCAUGGAGGAGAUCACCAGGGCCUCCGGCGCCGUCGGCCUCUCCUACGGCGCGCACUCCAACCUCUGCAUCAACCAGCUUGUCCGGCACGGCAGUCCCGAGCAGAGGCUCAAGUAUCUGCCCAAGCUCAUCAGUGGGGAGCAUAUCGGGGCACUGGCAAUGAGUGAACCCAACUCUGGCUCUGAUGUUGUCAGUAUGAAGUGCAAAGCUGAGAAAGUGGACGGCGGCUAUGUCCUUAAUGGGAAUAAGAUGUGGUGCACCAAUGGGCCGUCUGCUCAGACGCUGGUUGUUUAUGCAAAAACAGAUCUAGCUGCGGGAUCAAAAGGAAUAACUGCAUUCAUAAUCGAGAAAGGGAUGCCCGGGUUCAGUACUGCUCAGAAAUUGGACAAACUUGGCAUGAGAGGAAGCGACACAUGUGAGCUUGUUUUUGAGAACUGCUUUGUGCCACGCGAGAAUGUCCUCGGUGAAGAAGGCAAAGGUGUUUAUGUCAUGAUGUCAGGGCUUGAUCUGGAAAGGCUUGUAUUAGCUGCGGGCCCUAUUGGCCUUAUGCAGGCAUGCCUUGAUGUUGUACUUCCAUAUGUUCGACAGAGGGAGCAAUUCGGGCGUCCAAUUGGUGAAUUUCAGUUCAUACAGGGGAAAAUGGCUGAUAUGUACACCUCAUUGCAGUCAUCAAGAUCAUUUGUAUACUCGGUUGCUAGGGACUGCGAUAAUGGCAAAGUUGAUCGCAAGGAUUGUGCAGGGGUAAUUCUCUUUGCUGCUGAAAAUGCAACCCAAGUGGCACUUCAGGCGAUCCAGUGUCUUGGUGGAAAUGGGUACAUAAAUGAGUACCCAACUGGUCGUCUCCUGAGAGAUGCAAAAUUGUUUGAGAUUGGUGCUGGUACUAGCGAGAUAAGAAGAAUGAUAAUUGGCCGUGAGCUCUUCAAAGAGGACUGAAACUUCUAUUUUGCAAGCCAGAUACCAGUGCAUAUUGUUAACUGGGGGAGAUGUUAGAUAGAAGUGUAACGGCUAAGACGAUCGUAGACCCAAAAUUGGUCUUUAUGAUGGAAUAAGAAUUCCUUCCUGAUCCAACACAUAUAUGUUAACAGCAAAUACGUUAUGGACCCCUUACAUCUUUAUGGGAGAACUUCAUUUACAAACUCUCAGCUAUGUGGGACAAUUUGGCCCUAAGGCUUAUGCAAAAUUGGAGGGUUACAAGUUAGACGGUGAAGCAUAGGCCUGACGCAGUAGUAAGAAGCCUCCCUCUAAGCCAAAGGUCUUGGAUUUGACGUAGCCUAGUGCACACUGGUCUGUCCUUUUACAAGUCAGAAGGUAGCCUAGUGCACAACAAAGGUGUUUCACAAUCUGCUGGCUUCUGGAGGGGAUACUGUACCUUGGCUUUGAGCCUUCUGUUUCUGCCUCAGUGAGCCCCACUCAAUGGCCUCGGCUACAGCUUUUUGACGAUUGUAUGCAUCCUUAUCUUGCUUAGCGCUACCGGUUAGUGAGGGAUCUCCAACUUUCAUUUGGAGUAUAGGGCCAGAUUUGUGUUUAUAGCCAGCAGGCAUUUCUGCAAGGAAUCCCAGGGCCACAACAGCAUCACUCAUGUAAGGCCGGACUGAGGCUUCCUCUUGUAGGCACAUUGCUGCCACACCUACCGCCUGGCUCAAGUCUUUUUCUGGGUACUCACCUCUAAGAUGAGGGUCUACUAGCUCAUUGUACCUCUUCCUGUCUCUCAGCAUGGGCUUGACCUGUUGAUCAUACAUGAAUUUGUCAGAAAACCUUGUGCUGGAAGUCUUCUUUGGCUAAUUUCUAACUGAUGCUUUAGUAUUUAUUUGCAUGUGUUCCAUUGCAGUUGUCAGUUAUAUUAUAUAAUUAUUAUAUGGGCAAGCAUGUUCUGAGUGUAUAUGCAGAGUAAUAGAAUAGAAGUGUGUACCCAGUUAACUAGGAUUUGUUCACUUGCUGGCCUGGAGGUGUCCACUGCUCUUCUUCCUGUGAUCAACUCUAGUAUGAAAACCCCAAAACUGUACACGUCAGUCUUGACAGUUAGUUGGCCUGUUCUUAUGUAUUCCGGAGCGCAGUACCCAUAUGUUCCCAUCACCCGAGUGGAGAUGUGUGUCUUUCCCUCGACUGGACCAAGCUUUGCAAGCCCAAAAUCUGAGAGCUUAGGGUUGUACUUCUCAUCAAGGAGGAUGUUGGGGGACUUGAGAUCCCGGUAAAUGACAGGUGGGUUCGCCUUCUCAUGGAGGUAUUCAAGCCCUUUAGCAGUUCCAUGAGCUAUCUUCAUCCUGAGAUACCAACUCAGCGGCACUUGUUCAGGAGUGCUGUCUGCAAUGCCAAUUCAAAUUUGAACAUUUAAGUAUCUUGCACACCAUAUUAUAAAAUUAUGUAACACUGACAUCUGAAUGUGUUAGUGCAGACAAAAGGUUACCACUUACCAAGCAGGUGAUCUGCAAGUGAGCCAAGUGCCAUGUACUCGUACACCAGAAGCCUUUGAUCUCCAUCUGCGCAGUAGCCGACCAAAUUGACUAGGUUUGGAUGGUGCAAUAGACUGAGCAUAAGGACCUCAACUAGGAACUCUCUGUUGCCUUGAUACCCAUUCAGGUCUAGUUGCUUGACAGCAACAAGCUGUUCAUGGAAAUCGAAAACAAGUCAGCCACUGACUACUGUAGAUGAAUUAGCAAGUGUAUGUACCUACAAUUUUGGAAUGCCUUUCUGUGUGGUGUGUACCUGUCCAUUUUCAA